ensembl:lncRNA
GCCGGGGCCACAUUCCCACCUGAGUACAGGGGGUCUCUCAGAACGCAGCUCACCAAGCACACACGGGGGGCACACACAGCCCUGCCUACAGGACGGUACCCCCACACCUCACCCUCUUCAAGAAGCCCCGCGGAGCACGAGGCUCCCGCCAACGCCUGAGCUACAGGCUGGCCCGCCCGGCAGCAGCAGAACAUCACCAACGUCUCGUCUUUGGAAGCCCAGGGAGCUACCUCGACCCACCGAGCGGGGAGGUCACCCCACACACAAACAGCACCUCAACCUGCACCCUCUGACGGGACAGGGAGGGGUCACUCCCACCAGCUGGAUGGCUAAAGCAGCCGGCUGCAACGCUGCAGCCUCCCCACACCUGAUUACAGGGCGGGCGGGCUGCUCAGGGACAGAGGGCUCCGAAGCUUGGGACACACACCCCGAGUACGGGGCUGUCACCGCGCCAGCAGGACAGGCGGCCACGCAAGGACAGGCCCAAGCCCUGGCUACAGGGAGGCCUUGGCCACAGAACUACCGUGUGGCUCUGAUCUGCACUAAGGAAAAUAGUAGGAAGACAGGACACUCGCUGCGCUCGCAGGACUAAGAGGGAACACCCCUUUUGCGGCAUGCACCAAAGUCCUCCAUUCCCCCCGGGAAGUCAAAGCUAAGCUGCAGCCAUCUUUGUGGAGGCCUAAAGGGAAAGCACAGCCGCUCAACCACUCCACAAACACAAACAAGGAAAGGAAGGGGAACACGCACACACAGGCACGACUUUCCAGAAGGGAAGGACAACGCAGCACAGCCAACACCUGGGAAUAAACCCACAACCACGGGCAACAGACAAGAGCCUGUGACCUGUCCCUAGGCUGCACGGAGGCCACAGACCUCAACGUGCCAAGGGGCUUCUCAGGUAAAGCCAGCGGCCAAAAGCCGUGACGCACACCCGAGUACGGGGCCGUCGCGUUGACAAGCCACCAUCAGGCAACGAUGCCGAGGGGCCGGGGGAGGAAGAGGGGCAGGGAAACGGCACUACCCUGCUUACAGGGUGGCCUUGGGGUCCGGCGAGCUCCAUUUCCCACUCAGGGGGUCUCUCAGAACGCAGCUCACCAAGCACACACGGGGGGCACACACAGCCCUGCCUACAGGACGGUACCCCCACACCUCACCCUCUUCAAGAAGCCCCGCGGAGCACGAGGCUCCCGCCAACGCCUGAGCUACA